GAAGGGGGCUAGCGUUGUUCGGAAUUACUGGGCGUAAAGCGCGCGCAGGCGGUUCUUCAAGUCAGAGGUGAAAGCCCAGAGCUCAACUCUGGAAUGGCCUUUGAGACUAGAGAACUAGGGUACGGGAGAGGUGAGUGGAAUUCCGAGUGUAGAGGUGAAAUUCGUAGAUAUUCGGAAGAACACCAGUGGCGAAGGCGGCUCACUGGCCCGUUACCGACGCUCAGGCGCGACAGCGUGGGGAGCAAACAGGAUUAGAUACCCUGGUAGUCCACGCCGUAAACGAUGGAUGCUAGCCGUUGGUAAGCAUGCUUAUCAGUGGCGCAGCUAACGCAUUAAGCGUCCCGCCUGGGGAGUACGGCCGCAAGGUUA
rnacentral:rRNA from 1 species